AUCGAAGGUGUCCGUACACCAAUGCAGUUACGGCAAAAAAGGUGUGACACUGAUGACAAAUGAUAAGUCAAACUCAUAUAAUGUUAAACUUCCACACAACUGAUCUUGGAGGGGAUGGUGUGCUUAAAUUUCGGUGAUCAAGAAGACUAGCCGCUCGACGACGGGCAUCAGGCGAUAGAGGAUAUAGCCCUCGAAUCGAACCGCAGCCACGAGGUUCCUGGAAUAUUUUACAAUUAUAAUGUUUGAUUGUAAAAACUAUGGUUAAUAAAACGAAAAUUAUAUUUGGUACUUUGCGUU